AACGCGAAGAACCUUACCAGGCCUUGACAUGCAGAGAACUUUCCAGAGAUGGAUUGGUGCCUUCGGGAACUGUGACACAGGUGCUGCAUGGCGGUCGUCAGCUCGUGUCGUGAGAUGUUGGGUUAAGUCCCGUAACGAGCGCAACCCUUGUCCUUAGUUACCAGCACGUUAUGGUGGGCACUCUAAGGAGACUGCCGGUGACAAACCGGAGGAAGGUGGGGAUGACGUCAAGUCAUCAUGGCCCUUACGGCCUGGGCUACACACGUGCUACAAUGGUCGGUACAGAGGGUUGCCAAGCCGCGAGGUGGAGCUAAUCUCACAAAACCGAUCGUAGUCCGGAUCGCAGUCUGCAACUCGACUGCGUGAAGUCGGAAUCGCUAGUAAUCGCGAAUCAG
rnacentral:rRNA from 1 species